rnacentral:rRNA from 1 species
UACGGGGGGAGCAAGCGUUGUUCGGAUUUACUGGGCGUAAAGGGCGCGUAGGCGGCCAGCACAAGUCAGUUGUGAAAUCUCCGAGCUUAACUCGGAAAGGUCAACUGAUACUGUGCGGCUAGAGUGCGGAAGGGGCAACUGGAAUUCUUGGUGUAGCGGUGAAAUGCGUAGAUAUCAGGAGGAACACCUGCGGCGAAGGCGGGUUGCUGGGCCGACACUGACGCUGAGGCGCGAAAGCCAGGGGAGCGAACGGG